rnacentral:sRNA from 1 species
AUACCUAACUGCAAGAACUGCCACAUCCCUGGUGGUCUGACCGUGUCUCUGAGCUAAGCAGCAGAUUUCAGCCACAGGGUCUGACUCUCAGGCAGACACAUCCUGUCCAAGGACUGGAGACAGAGCAUCCGUUCUCCCACCCGGAGCGGUCAGCUGCAUGUGGCUGGCUGGGGGCGCUUCAGACAGAAACGGCCCAAGAGAAAUGGAAAUAUGAUGGCUGGUUGAUUGUUUUGCAGUCUGCAUGACAGACCACCCUCCUAACAAGACUCUAGGUCAAGUGGUCUUCUCUGCCCUAUGGAUCUAUUGGGGAGAAAUUAGCUCUCGGUGGUAUUUCCAAUUAUGGAGAAAAGCGAUUCCUCCCUGGUCUAGCUAUCAUGUGUUUUGCGGUGGACCAAGAGACAUGAAGCCCGUUUUCUACCCUCACCUCUUUCUCCAUCUAGCUGCAUGACCUUGGGAGGUGGCGUGACCUCUCGGCUUCUCUGCUGCCUCAUCUGUCAUGAUCCACCUGUAGUACUUCAUAGCCAUGUUCUAGGAUAAAUGAGAGAAGCCUCUACAUCUUUUAGUCUCCCAGAAAGACUGGAACCAGUGAUGAGUUCCAUGAAGACAAAGACCUGUUUAUCUUGUUCUGCUCCAGCACCGAGCAGGUGCAGUGGCUUAUGCCUGUUAUCCCAGAACUUUGGGAGGCUGAGUCAGGAGGAUCACUUGAGGCCAGUUCAAGACCAGCCUGGGAA